rnacentral:rRNA from 1 species
UUAAGUUAUUAAGGGCGCACGGUGGAUGCCUUGGCACUAGAAGCCGAUGAAGGACGUUACUAACGACGAUAUGCUUUGGGGAGCUGUAAGUAAGCUUUGAUCCAGAGAUUUCCGAAUGGGGAAACCCAGCAUGAGUUAUGUCAUGUUAUCGAUAUGUGAAUACAUAGCAUAUCAGAAGGCACACCCGGAGAACUGAAACAUCUUAGUACCCGGAGGAAGAGAAAGAAAAUUCGAUUCCCUUAGUAGCGGCGAGCGAAACGGGAAGAGCCCAAACCAACAAGCUUGCUUGUUGGGGUUGUAGGACACUCUAUACGGAGUUACAAAGGACGACAUUAGACGAAUCAUCUGGAAAGAUGAAUCAAAGAAGGUAAUAAUCCUGUAGUCGAAAAUGUUGUCUCUCUUGAGUGGAUCCUGAGUACGACGGAGCACGUGAAAUUCCGUCGGAAUCUGGGAGGACCAUCUCCUAAGGCUAAAUACUCUCUAGUGACCGAUAGUGAACCAGUACCGUGAGGGAAAGGUGAAAAGCACCCCGGAAGGGGAGUGAAAUAGAACCUGAAACCGUGUGCUUACAAGUAGUCAGAGCCCGUUAAUGGGUGAUGGCGUGCCUUUUGUAGAAUGAACCGGCGAGUUACGAUUUGAUGCAAGGUUAAGCAGUAAAUGUGGAGCCGUAGCGAAAGCGAGUCUGAAUAGGGCGUUUAGUAUUUGGUCGUAGACCCGAAACCAGGUGAUCUACCCUUGGUCAGGUUGAAGUUCAGGUAACACUGAAUGGAGGACCGAACCGACUUACGUUGAAAAGUGAGCGGAUGAACUGAGGGUAGCGGAGAAAUUCCAAUCGAACCUGGAGAUAGCUGGUUCUCUCCGAAAUAGCUUUAGGGCUAGCCUCAAGUGAUGAUUAUUGGAGGUAGAGCACUGUUUGGACGAGGGGCCCCUCUCGGGUUACCGAAUUCAGACAAACUCCGAAUGCCAAUUAAUUUAACUUGGGAGUCAGAACAUGGGUGAUAAGGUCCGUGUUCGAAAGGGAAACAGCCCAGACCACCAGCUAAGGUCCCAAAAUAUAUGUUAAGUGGAAAAGGAUGUGGCGUUGCCCAGACAACUAGGAUGUUGGCUUAGAAGCAGCCAUCAUUUAAAGAGUGCGUAAUAGCUCACUAGUCGAGUGACACUGCGCCGAAAAUGUACCGGGGCUAAACAUAUUACCGAAGCUGUGGAUUGUCCUUUGGACAAUGGUAGGAGAGCGUUCUAAGGGCGUUGAAGCAUGAUCGUAAGGACAUGUGGAGCGCUUAGAAGUGAGAAUGCCGGUGUGAGUAGCGAAAGACGGGUGAGAAUCCCGUCCACCGAUUGACUAAGGUUUCCAGAGGAAGGCUCGUCCGCUCUGGGUUAGUCGGGUCCUAAGCUGAGGCCGACAGGCGUAGGCGAUGGAUAACAGGUUGAUAUUCCUGUACCACCUAUAAUCGUUUUAAUCGAUGGGGGGACGCAGUAGGAUAGGCGAAGCGUGCGAUUGGAUUGCACGUCUAAGCAGUAAGGCUGAGUAUUAGGCAAAUCCGGUACUCGUUAAGGCUGAGCUGUGAUGGGGAGAAGACAUUGUGUCUUCGAGUCGUUGAUUUCACACUGCCGAGAAAAGCCUCUAGAUAGAAAAUAGGUGCCCGUACCGCAAACCGACACAGGUAGUCAAGAUGAGAAUUCUAAGGUGAGCGAGCGAACUCUCGUUAAGGAACUCGGCAAAAUGACCCCGUAACUUCGGGAGAAGGGGUGCUCUUUAGGGUUAACGCCCAGAAGAGCCGCAGUGAAUAGGCCCAAGCGACUGUUUAUCAAAAACACAGGUCUCUGCUAAACCGUAAGGUGAUGUAUAGGGGCUGACGCCUGCCCGGUGCUGGAAGGUUAAGAGGAGUGGUUAGCUUCUGCGAAGCUACGAAUCGAAGCCCCAGUAAACGGCGGCCGUAACUAUAACGGUCCUAAGGUAGCGAAAUUCCUUGUCGGGUAAGUUCCGACCCGCACGAAAGGCGUAACGAUUUGGGCACUGUCUCAACGAGAGACUCGGUGAAAUCAUAGUACCUGUGAAGAUGCAGGUUACCCGCGACAGGACGGAAAGACCCCGUGGAGCUUUACUGUAGCCUGAUAUUGAAAUUCGGCACAGCUUGUACAGGAUAGGUAGGAGCCUUUGAAACGUGAGCGCUAGCUUACGUGGAGGCGCUGGUGGGAUACUACCCUAGCUGUGUUGGCUUUCUAACCCGCACCACUUAUCGUGGUGGGAGACAGUGUCAGGCGGGCAGUUUGACUGGGGCGGUCGCCUCCUAAAAGGUAACGGAGGCGCUCAAAGGUUCCCUCAGAAUGGUUGGAAAUCAUUCAUAGAGUGUAAAGGCAUAAGGGAGCUUGACUGCGAGACCUACAAGUCGAGCAGGGUCGAAAGACGGACUUAGUGAUCCGGUGGUUCCGCAUGGAAGGGCCAUCGCUCAACGGAUAAAAGCUACCCCGGGGAUAACAGGCUUAUCUCCCCCAAGAGUUCACAUCGACGGGGAGGUUUGGCACCUCGAUGUCGGCUCAUCGCAUCCUGGGGCUGUAGUCGGUCCCAAGGGUUGGGCUGUUCGCCCAUUAAAGCGGUACGCGAGCUGGGUUCAGAACGUCGUGAGACAGUUCGGUCCCUAUCCGUCGUGGGCGUAGGAAAUUUGAGAGGAGCUGUCCUUAGUACGAGAGGACCGGGAUGGACAUACCUCUGGUGUACCAGUUGUCGUGCCAACGGCAUAGCUGGGUAGCUAUGUGUGGACGGGAUAAGUGCUGAAAGCAUCUAAGCAUGAAGCCCCCCUCAAGAUGAGAUUUCCCAACUUCGGUUAUAAGAUCCCUCAAAGAUGAUGAGGUUAAUAAGUUCGAGGUGGAAGCAUGGUGACAUGUGGAGCUGACGAAUACUAAUCGAUCGAAGACUUAAUCAA